UGAUCUGAGGGGAUCAAGACCAGGCAUGUGCAUUAGCCAGGCUGACUUCGCCAGACAGUGGUUAGAGGAUACUAACCUUCAUCAUUCUUUCAUCACGACCAGCAACACCAUCAUGAUCAUCACCAACACCAUCACCACCAAUGCCAUCGUUUUCAGGUGCAAGAUGAGGCGACCAUUUGGACGUAGAGAAAGACCAAGAGACAGAGGCCAUCCCCGGGAGAGGAAAAGGAGAGGAGAAAGGAAUGGAGGAAAGACAGCAUUAAAAGAAGUCAAAGCAAGAGAUGUAACAGGAAAAGGUCACGGCUCCACAGGAUAGAGGUGGUCUACAUGCACCAGGCAGAAAACACGUUUUACACAAGAUAUCACAAAGGGGCAGGAGCAGGGCUACGCUCGUGUUCCUUAGUCCGGGGCGGCAAUGCACAAUUUAUGAGCUGCAGGACGCUCACAUGCAGGGAAGGAAAAGGGGUCUUCACACCAAGGCAGAAGCAGAAACACACAACAAGGUCCUCAACCAGGAAAAGCAAAUGCCCCUAUUUUUUAAAACUGUAAAUCUGUAAAUUACAUUCUUUGUCUACAAAUGAA